rnacentral:misc_RNA from 1 species
GUCGUGCUAUCCUAACACUAACUAGCCACCUUGUCCAGGCGGUGUCAACAAACACGUCAGAAGCUUCGGCGUGGAAAAACGUUUUACUCUCUUGUGGGACAAUUACCCACGUGGACCCAAAAACAUGACUUUCUCCAAAAAUAACAAGAUGUUGAGCCAUAUUGGCUACCGCAUGAAGGUGACCAUGCUGGACAGCCGGACAUUCAUCGGAAUCUUCAAAGCUUUUGACAAGCACAUGAAUGUAAUCCUGGCUGAUUGUGAGGAAUUUCGUUGUGUACGUGGAAAAAAGAAUAAAGAAGAAAAACAGGAGAAGCGGACAAUGGGUUUACUGUUACUACGAGGUGAAACCAUUGUGACCAUGACUCUGGAAGGUCCUCCCCCAGCUGAGGAUGGUUCCCGAGUAAAUCUGCCAGGGGCUGCUCCAGGACCAGGUGUUGGUCGUCCUGCUGGUCGUGGUAUGCCUGGGACCGGAGGAACUGGUUUGCAGGGACCAGUACGUGGAGUGGGUGGCCCUUCACAGCAAAUGAUGCAACCAGCAGCUCGUGCUGGUCCUCAGAUUAAUGUGCCCCCAAGGGGAGGACCUCCUGGAAGUAUGCCACCUCACAUGAUGGGUGGUAUGCCUCCCCACAUGGGUCGUGGUGGUCCUAUGGCACCACCAGGUAGCUCCAUGAUGAGAGGAGGCCCCCCAGGAGGGCGACCCUACUAGAUCCACCUCCAGCUGCCAUCACAAGUGCUUCAAAGUGUUCCAUAUCCAAACCCGAAAAUUUAUUAUAAGAGCAUAUGAUCAGUACAGGAAAGUUAAUACAGGUACUGUUGUGGAUUCCUCCCCUACAAACGCUGUUUGUCGCUG